rnacentral:snoRNA from 1 species
AUCCCAUGAUGAGGACAAUCUAAAAUGUAUUCUUGAAAAUGUUCUCAUGGCUCUGGAAUGGUUUCUCCUUUCUGUUGCUGAAAGUUACAAAUAUUUUCUCUUAAGGC